GACGAACGCUGGCGGCGUGCUUAACACAUGCAAGUCGAGCGGUAAGGCCCUUUCGGGGGUACACGAGCGGCGAACGGGCGAGUAACACGUGGGUGACCUGCCCUCAGCUCUGGGAUAAGCCUGGGAAACCGGGUCUAAUACUGGAUAUGACUCCAUGACGCAUGUUGUGGGGUGGAAAGCCUUGUGCGGCUGAGGAUGGGCCCGCGGCCUAUCAGCUUGUUGGUGGGGUGAUGGCCUACCAAGGCGACGACGGGUAGCCGGCCUGAGAGGGCGACCGGCCACACUGGGACUGAGACACGGCCCAGACUCCUACGGGAGGCAGCAGUGGGGAAUCUUGCGCAAUGGGCGAAAGCCUGACGCAGCGACGCCGCGUGAGGGAUGACGGCC
rnacentral:rRNA from 1 species